AUCCGGCCGACGAGUCCCAAACAGAACGAAACGUGCGUCCUGGAU
rnacentral:hammerhead_ribozyme from 1 species